UACAGAGGUCUCAAGCGUUGUUCGGAUUCAUUGGGCGUAAAGGGCGCGUAGGCGGUGAAGUAAGUCUGGUGUGAAAGCUCCGAGCUCAACUCGGAAAAGCAUUGGAAACUAUCCCGCUUGAGGGUCGGAGGGGGGACUGGAAUUCUCGGUGUAGCAGUGAAAUGCGUAGAUAUCGAGAGGAACACCGGUGGCGAAGGCGGCGACCUGGGUAGAUACUGACGCUGAGGCGCGAAAGCGUGGGGAGCAAACAGG
rnacentral:rRNA from 1 species